rnacentral:rRNA from 1 species
AAUCAACGCUGGCGGCGUGCCUAACACAUGCAAGUCGAACGCGAAGGAAGACUUCGGUUUUCUGGAGAGUGGCGCACGGGUGAGUAACACGUGGGUAAUCUGCCUUUGGGUGGGGAAUAACGAUCCGAAAGGGUCGCUAAUACCGCAUAACGCAGCGGCACCGCAUGGUGACAGUUGUUAAAGGGGGGGAUCGAAAGACCUCUCGCCUGAAGAGGAGCCCGCGUCCGAUUAGCUAGUUGGUGAGGUAACGGCUCACCAAGGCAUCGAUCGGUAGCCGGCCUGAGAGGGCGGUCGGCCACACUGGCACUGAGACACGGGCCAGACUCCUACGGGAGGCAGCAGUGGGGAAUUUUGGGCAAUGGGCGAAAGCCUGACCCAGCAACGCCGCGUGAAGGAUGAAAUCCCUCUGGGAUGUAAACUUCGAAAGUCGGGAAAGAAAUCGCCAUGGAUAACAACCGUGGUGGAUGACGGUACCCGACGUAAGCCCCGGCUAACUACGUGCCAGCAGCCGCGGU